rnacentral:rRNA from 1 species
UACAGAGGGGGCAAGCGUUGUUCGGAAUUACUGGGCGUAAAGGGCUCGUAGGCGGCCAACUAAGUCAGACGUGAAAUCCCUCAGCUUAACUGGGGAACUGCGUCUGAUACUGGAUGGCUUGGAUCCGGGAGAGGGAUGCGGAAUUCCAGGUGUAGCGGUGAAAUGCGUAGAUAUCUGGAGGAACACCGGUGGCGAAGGCGGCAUCCUGGACCGGUAUUGACGCUGAGGCGCGAAAGCUAGGGGAGCAAACGGG